AUUGAACGCUGGCGGCGUGCCUAACACAUGCAAGUCGAGCGAGUGAAUCUCCUUCGGGAGUGAAGCUAGCGGCGGACGGGUGAGUAACACGUGGGCAACCUGCCUCAUAGAGGGGAAUAGCCUUUCGAAAGGAAGAUUAAUACCGCAUAAGAUUGUAGCUUCGCAUGAAGUAGCAAUUAAAGGAGCAAUCCGCUAUGAGAUGGGCCCGCGGCGCAUUAGCUAGUUGGUGAGGUAACGGCUCACCAAGGCGACGAUGCGUAGCCGACCUGAGAGGGUGAUCGGCAACAUUGGGACUGAGACACGGCCCAGACUCCUACGGGAGGCAGCAGUGGGGAAUAUUGCACAAUGGGGGAAACCCUGAUGCAGCAACGCCGCGUGAGUGAUGACGGCCUUCGGGUUGUAAAGCUCUGUCUUCAGGGACGAUAAUGACGGUACCUGAGGAGGAAGCCACGGCUAACUACGUGCCAGCCGCCGCCGUAAGAC
rnacentral:rRNA from 1 species